rnacentral:rRNA from 1 species
GGAAACCGGAGCUAAUACCGGAUAAUAUUUUGAACCGCAUGAUUCAAAAGUGAAAGACGGUCUUGCUGUCACUUAUAGAUGGAUCCGCGCUGCAUUAGCUAGUUGGUAAGGUAACGGCUUACCAAGGCAACGAUGCAUAGCCGACCUGAGAGGGUGAUCGGCCACACUGGAACUGAGACACGGUCCAG